UAAAUACUCCCUCUCUCCGGAAAUACUUGUUGGAUAAAUGCAUAAAUAUGGAUGUAUCUAGAACUAAAAUACGUCUAGAUACAUCCAUUCCUCCGACAAGUAUUUCCGGACGGAGGGAGUAUUUG
rfam:Triticum aestivum genome assembly, contig: Triticum_aestivum_CS42_TGACv1_scaffold_146445_2BS